rnacentral:rRNA from 1 species
ACAAAAAAAUAACACGUGGAUAACCUACCUAUAAGACUGGGAUAACUUCGGGACACCGGAGCUAAUACCGGAUGAUAUUUUGAACCGCAUGGUUCAACAGUGAAAGACGCUCUUGCUGUCACUUAUAGAUGGAUCCGCGCUGCAUUAGCUAGUUGUUAAUGUAACGGCUUACCAAGCCAACGAUGCAUAGCCGACCUGAGAGGGUGAUCGGCCAAACUGGAACUGAGACACGGUCCAGACGCCUACGGGAGGCAGCAGUAGGGAAUCUUCCGCAAUGGGCGAAAGCCUGACGGAGCAACGCCGAGUGAGUGAUGAAGGUCUUCGUUUUGUAAAAUGAUGCGGCGACCACAGAAAACUAGACCAAAAC